UGAAUACGAGACGCUAAGGCGUCGAAGUAGUGUAUGUCAUACUUCCAAGAAAAGCUUGCACUGUCAUAGAUAAAAAACGCCUGUACCAUAACCGACACAGGUGGGUAGGUAGAGUAUACUAAGGGGCGCGAGAUAACUCUCUCUAAGGAACUCGGCAAAAUAACUCCGUAACUUCGGGAGAAGGAGUGCCUUAUUCUUAAGGUUGCAAUAACAAGAUCCAAGCAACUGUUUAUCAAAAACACAGGUCUCCGCUAAGUCGUAAGACGAUGUAUGGGGGCUGACGCCUGCCCAGUGCCAGAAGGUUAAAGAAGCUGGUUAGCAUUUGCGAAGCUAGUAACUGAAGCCCUGGUGAACGGCGGCCGUAACAAUAACGGUCCUAAGGUAGCGAAAUUCCUUGUCGGGUAAGUUCCGACCCGCACGAAAGGCGUAAUGAUUUGGAUACUGUCUCGGAGAGGGGCUCGGUGAAAUAGACUUGUCUGUGAAGAUGCGGACUACCUGCACCAGGACAGAAAGACCCUAUGAAGCUUUACUGUAACUUGAAAUUGAAAUUGGACUUUAUUCGCGCAGUAUAGGUGGGAGGCGUUGAUUAUAAUCUUGCGGGAUUAUUGGAGCCAUAGUGAGAUACCACUCUUGUAAUGUUAGAUUUCUAACUUUGAAUCAUUAUCUGGUCAGAGAACAGUUUCAGGCGGGCAGUUUGACUGGGGCGGUCGCCUCCCAAACGGUAACGGAGGCGUACAAAGGUUUCCUCUGAACGGUUAGAAAUCGUAUCUAGAGUGUAAAGGCAUAAGGAAGCUUGACUGUGAGACCUACAAGUCGAGCAGGGACGAAAGUCGGUCUUAGUGAUCUGACGGUACUGAGUGGAAAGGCCGUCACUCAACGGAUAAAAGUUACUCUAAGGAUAACAGGCUGAUCUCCCCCAAGAGUUCACAUCGACGGGGAGGUUUGGCACCUCGAUGUCGGCUCAUCGCAUCCUGGGGCGGUAGUACGUCCCAAGGGUUGGGCUGUUCGCCCAUGAAAGCGGUACGCGAGCUGGGUUCAGAACGUCGUGAGACAGUUCGGUCCAUAUCCGGUGUAGGCGUUAGAAUAUUGAGAGGAGCCUUCUUUAGUACGAGAGGACCGAGAAGGACAUACCUCUGGUGUACCAGUUAUCGUGCCAACGGUAGACGCUGGGUAGCUAUGUAUGGAGUGGAUAACCGCUGAAAGCAUCUAAGUGGGAAGCCCACCUCAAGAUAAGUAUUCUCA
rnacentral:rRNA from 1 species